GUACACAUGUCGUUUGAUGGCUGAACGAAACUAGCAAGUUUCAACCGAGUUUCUGAUUCUGUAAACGUCUAAUGUGGAUGUCUCAGUGGUUAAUUGCAGCCAAAAAUUUAUACAGAUCACCAUUCGUCUACAUAAUUGAAUGAAGUUUUGAAAACGCUUCGUUGAAAGGAAAGUGAUCGAUUCCUGGAGCAUGAAUAUUUUCGAUGUGUUGUGCUUGUAACUCCACAAUCUUUGAACCAGGAGCUGUUCCUUAGCCGUCACUGUUAUCACCUUUGAUCUACAUCCUUCACUAAUGCCAGACUUAUCUUGAAAUAUUAAGAGAUACCUCUUUUAUUGUCAGUUCUCGCACUAUUUCAUUUAUGCACCUAUAGUAAAACUAAAAACUAAAAACAGUAAUUAAGAACAAAUAAAGGAAAUUCAUUGCUAAGAACGUUUCAAGUAAAGCCCUUAUUUUUAAAUUUGAAAGAUUGCUGAGAACAACUCUCUGCAAUGCCUCUCUGUUGAACCCUUUACAACAGACCUGCAUCAUGCUUUCGUUUUGAUUAUGGUCAGUCCCAGUUCAAACAUCAAGGCAGUACAUGUCUUUCUACAUAAUUAAUUUGUGUUUCGAUUUACUUUUUUCUAUCCCUUGAGUGGCCCUUAAAUAUGGCCUGUUCUGAUAGUCGAUUCUCAAAAAAACCAAAAUCUUCAUUGUAUUAACGCGACUAAACAUCCUAUUUACAUUCAAUUUUGACGUUUUGAGCAUUGUUAAUUAAAAUGCAGCCGAUUUUUUUUAAAUGUAUGUCAUUAUGUAUGUAUGUCAUUGAGAUAUAUCAUAUUUUUUUAAGGGGGAGGAUUUUACAAAGUAUCUGCAGAAAACUGCUGUUUUUAGGGAAUAAUAGGUUUAAAUAAUGAGAAAGCACACUUUGAAGAAUAAAAAAAAAUAGAAAACAAAGAUUUGAAGAUUAUGAGAGUGUACAUGUACGUUUAUCGUUCUGUUUCAGUGUAACUUGAACUUGUGAGUCUUGUGUAAACAAAAUACCUGUUUUG
rnacentral:lncRNA from 1 species